AACACAAAUUGCAUUUUACCCAGCAAAGAGCAAGCAUGAUCAGGAAGAACAAUAGGUUUUUAACAGUUGUACAUGCAGAAAGUCCAGAUUCAACCUUACCAACCCUGGUAAUAAAUUCUACCUAAGAUUUUGAAGAGUCCUGCUACCCUCCAGGCAGAAAAAUACUGAGAGUCUCAACAUCUUUUUUACAUCGUGGUGACCAAAACGGACCUUCUCUGACCUGAUCCUCUCUUCAUUCCACACCUCAAAAAUGUUCAGCAAUGGCCAUGCUGACUGAAAUUUUAGGGUAGUCAUUCUAUAACAACGGGUGCAAAAGCUAAGAAAGAAUGAACUAAGGAGGUCUGAUGCCAGCCAUGGACAGAUCAUCGGCUUACCUUCUUGUAAAUUGCAAAUAUUGUUCCUAUUGAGGCUAAACAGUCUAUAUUGGAAGAGCCAUCUAGUGGAUCAAAGCACACCACAUAUUUACCCUGAAAGGGGAGAAACAA